rnacentral:rRNA from 1 species
CCUACGGGAGGCAGCAGUGAGGAAUAUUGGUCAAUGGGCGCGAGCCUGAACCAGCCAAGUCGCGUGAGGGAUGAAGGUUCUAUGGAUCGUAAACCUCUUUUAUAAGGGAAUAAAGUGUGGGACGUGUCCUAUUUUGUAUGUACCUUAUGAAUAAGGAUCGGCUAACUCCGUGCCAGCAGCCGCGGUAAUACGGAGGAUCCGAGCGUUAUCCGGAUUUAUUGGGUUUAAGGGGUGCGUAGGCGGCCUUUUAAGUCAGCGGUGAAAGUCUGUGGCUCAACCAUAGAAUUGCCGUUGAAACUGGGGGGCUUGAGUAUGUGUGAGGCAGGCGGAAUGCGUGGUGUAGCGGUGAAAUGCGUAGAUAUCACGCAGAACACUGAUUGCGAAGGCAGCUUGCCAAGCCAUGACUGACGCUGAUGCACGAAAGCGUGGGGAUCAAACAGGAUUAGAUACCCCUGUAGUC